CAGCCGCCGCGGUAAUACGAAGGGGGCUAGCGUUGCUCGGAAUUACUGGGCGUAAAGGGAGCGUAGGCGGGUCGUUUAGUCAGAGGUGAAAUCCCGGGGCUCAACCUCGGAACUGCCUUUGAUACUGGCGACCUUGAGGAUGGGAGAGGUAAGCGGAACUCCGAGUGUAGAGGUGAAAUUCGUAGAUAUUCGGAAGAACACCAGUGGCGAAGGCGGCUUACUGGCCCAUUACUGACGCUGAGGCUCGAAAGCGUGGGGAGCAAACAGGAUUAGAUACCCCUGUAGUCCCUGUCUCUUAUAU
rnacentral:rRNA from 1 species